GGUGGGGUAACGGCUCACCUAGGCGACGAUCCCUAGCUGGUCUGAGAGGAUGACCAGCCACACUGGAACUGAGACACGGUCCAGACUCCUACGGGAGGCAGCAGUGGGGAAUAUUGCACAAUGGGCGCAAGCCUGAUGCAGCCAUGCCGCGUGUAUGAAGAAGGCCUUCGGGUUGUAAAGUACUUUCAGCGGGGAGGAAGGGAGUAAAGUUAAUACCUUUGCUCAUUGACGUUACCCGCAGAAGAAGCACCGGCUAACUCCGUGCCAGCAGCCGCGGUAAUACGGAGGGUGCAAGCGUUAAUCGGAAUUACUGGGCGUAAAGCGCACGCAGGCGGUUUGUUAAGUCAGAUGUGAAAUCCCCGGGCUCAACCUGGGAACUGCAUCUGAUACUGGCAAGCUUGAGUCUCGUAGAGGGGGGUAGAAUUCCAGGUGUAGCGGUGAAAUGCGUAGAGAUCUGGAGGAAUACCGGUGGCGAAGGCGGCCCCCUGACGAAGACUGACGUUCAG
rnacentral:rRNA from 1 species